ACAGAGGGAUGCUACCGGGCGACCGGAUGCGGAUCUCGAAAGCCUGUCCCAGUUCGGACUGGAGUCUGCAACCCGACUCCACGAAGUUGGAUUCGCUAGUAAUCGCGCAUCAGCCAUGGCGCGGUGAAUACGUUCCCGGGCCUUGUACACACCGCCCGUCAAGCCAUGGGAGCCGGGGGCGCCUGAAGUCCGGGACCGCGAGGACCGGCCUAGGGCGAAACUGGUAACUGGGGCUAAGUCGUAACAAGGUAAC
rnacentral:rRNA from 1 species